UAUAUUAUGAAAAAGUUUGACUGAAAUAAUUUCGAACUUAUAAAAUCUUGUCAUUUGAUAUAAAAAGAAAUAAACUUCCAGCUAUAUUUAAUUGUUUUUUAUAUAAAACAAGUACAUGUAUGUGAGAAACCUUUCAGGAACAAGUUGUCUACUAUAGCCAGCCAAGCCUUUACUGCAUAUAUGUGCACAUUUUUAGUUGAUGCAUCUAAAAGAUAUAGUUUUGAUUCGGUGUUUCUUUGUUUUCUUUUUAUUCAAAUAAUUUUAAAAUGUGAUGAUGUACACAACAAUAAAUAGUACCUAGUUUAGAGGAUUUUUUCGCGCUUGUUUGUAAACAACGCGCGGCAUUGUGGGAAAUAGGAAGGUACUAAAGACGCGAUGUACUAAACACUUAUUUGACCUGAUUCAAAUUUGUCUGUAAAUGUUCCAAACAAUUGAAUUUUUGUAUAGCAUAUGCCUCGAAGUCAUAAAGUCUGUACAUAAGUAAUUUAAAAUACUCAAUAUUACCAUUUAAUUAAAAAUUAAAACGUCAGGUAAAUAUCAGGUCUCUAGUAUAUCCCGUUUUUAGUGUGCCCCUUCGAGUCGACGUCGGACACAUGUUUGUCAUGGUUUACAAACUGAAAAUAGAAUGAUUUGUGAAGUUGAACAUUUUCUCACAAAGAAUCCGUUUGUAGACAUGCACACUCAUUUAAUCUGGAGCUACGAAGUACUUUGUCACUUCUCUGGAACAUUAUUCUAAGCAGAAUUAUCAAGGAUGAACACUCUUGACUCUGCUUCGGAUUCCCCAGUGAUAAUUGUAUCGAGUGAUGAAAGAGCUGACGGCGACAUUUUAAAGUAUGAUUGGCUUGGACCAUUGGAAUGAAGUCAUUUCAUGGUGCCACCACUUGGGAUGGUAUUAGCUGCAAAUAUAGACUUGUACUCAGCACUUAUUGCCUUUAAGAAGUAUGAGAUCCAUUUUGUGCUAACACCUACCGUGACACAGAAUCUUGGUUUAUGCAGUCUCAUAGGAGUAACCUGUCUAAAGCAUUUAGCAAUGGGAUUGGAACCUGCGACGUGUGACUCAUCUGAAGACUGAAUUUUGAUACCAAGCAUGACCAUGAUUUGCCAGAAGAUCAUCUGUUUGGAUGUGACAUGGAAUAAACAGCAUAGUGAAAAUAAGUCAAGUUUUGGUUUGUGAAGACAAUUUUUAAACACACUGUGUAUCAUUUUUAAAUUUUGAUUUGACAACAUAAAUCCACAAAUAUGAACAUAUCAAUUGCUCUCAGUUUUUCAAGUGAAAUAGUUUUUGUAACAGAAAUACAUGUACCAGUAAUUACAUUGGAAUAAAUGUUAUUUUUAAAUAUAAUAAUAUUUUGUUUGUGUAGCAUGUUGACCUCUUUAUUAAGGUCUUCCCUUUCAAAGUUUAGACUUACUUAUUCUAAUGAUUAAGAUAGAUCCUCUGUCUUCAGCAGGAAUAGAAGAUCUUGUAAUACAUGUAUGUGUAUUUUUUACAGUAUAAUGUAAAAAAAAUUGUUAUUUUGGCACAUACAACUAUUUAAAGGCAUAAACAUGUGUAUGAUUCCAAGGAAUUCAGUACAUAGGGCAUGUACAUGUAGUUUUCUAAAACAAGAUUGAAGAGAUGUCCAGUCGCAUUUCAAUGUCAACUGCAAAACUGUGCCUGUUGCAUAUUUAUUAGCCCAUCUGAGCUAAAGGAACCAGUAAAUUUUUUAAAAACAUAAUUUUAUCCAUUAUCAUCAUUGUCUAAAAUUUCACAAUAUCAUUUUCCAGAACCAAAAUGAAACUUGGCACAGAGCAUCCUUAGUGUAGGGGAUUCAAAUUGUUCUUAUGCAGGGCAAUACCUUCAAAGAGAUUUGUUUCUUUAAUGCUGUAAAUGUAUUAUAUUUAGCUUGUACAAUAUUUGGUGGAAAUUGACUUUUGAAUAAGUUAGCGUAGAUAUUCUUAUUUAUGUUUAUGUACAAGACUUUUAGCUUUGUACUUGAUUUAGUGAUUGCUGCAUUCCGCCAAAGCCGCUAAAAAAGAAUACACAGCCAUAUGUAAUAUGUUUACAAUAUACCUUUCAGAGAAUUUUACACUCCUAUUGAGGUACCACCAGUUGCUAGUGGAAAGCUUCAAAUUCGAAACAUACACAACACAUUUCUGUACGUUUAUUAUAAAAGUAUUGUUCUACUUACUGAUUGCAACUAAUGAAGAUUGUUCAUCAUUAUUGUAAAUACAUUUGGAUUUUUUGAAUUAUUAUAUAAUUUGUUUAUUUUAUUUACCUAGUUAUAUUGUAUAUUAAAUGAUUUUAAAGCCAUUUUUAAGAUGGUAAUGUAGCAAAACACUUAUGUUUCUGUAGUAUGACACGUUUCACAAACAUGAUAUAUCCGAUAUAAAAAGUCAUAAUAUUGGAAGUUAAACUGUUGUGGAUACGAUUUCAAGAAUGCUGUUAGAGAGAGUACCCUUUAGACCUCAUGCUCACACCAAAUUAAAGAAUUCAAGUAAGGGUUUCUGAGACAAAUCGAAAAAGAGAAUGUUAGCAAAGUUGACAAUCUAGACAGAAACAUUUAAUCUUUUGCUUAUCGCUAGGAAGGAAGACCCACUCGUUGCUUUGCAACGAGCUUUGCUCUAGUUAUUCUUAUUU